rnacentral:rRNA from 1 species
ACUGAGAUGCGGCCCAGACUCCUACGGGAGGCAGCUGUAGGGAAUUUUGCGCAAUGGACGAAAGUCUGACGCAGCAACGCCUGCGUGAGGGAUGACGGCCUUCGGGUUGUAAACCUCUGUUGAGUGUGGAAGAAAAGCUUCGUGGUUAAUAUCCACAGAGUCUGACGGUACCACUCGAUGGAAGCUCCGGCUAACUACGUGCCAGCAGCCGCGGUGAUACGUAGGGGGCUAGCGUUGUUCGGAAUCACUGGGCGUAAAGGGAGUGUAGGCGUGACCCGUGUAGUUAGGAGUUACAUGUACGGUGCUCAACCCGUGAUCUGCUUUUAAUGCUGUCGGUCGUUGAGUAUGGGAGAGGGAGCUGGGGCUUCCAGGUUGUACCGGUGGACUGCGUAGAUUUCUGGAGGAGCACCAGUUGCAAUGGCGGCCUCCUGGACCGUUACUGACGCGUGGGCUCGAAAGCUGGGGGAGCGAACAGGAUUGGAUACCCUGGUAGUCCCCAGCCGUUUACGAUGGACACUACUUGCCGGAGGAGUCAAUCCCUUCGGUGAAGAAGCUAACGCACUAAGUGUCACGCAUGGGGAGUACGCUCGCAAGGGUGACACUAAAAGGAAGUGACGGGGGCCAGCACAAGCGCUGGAGCAUGUGCGUUUAUUCGAUGCUACGCGAAGAACAUUACCUGGGUUUGACAUGGGGGUGAAAGUUUCCAGAGAUGGAAGCCUUUCCUUCGGGUACACCCCACACAGGUGCUGCAUGGUUGUC